UACGAAGGGGACUAGCGUUGUUCGGAAUUACUGGGCGUAAAGCGCACGUAGGCGGAUUUGUUAGUCAGGGGUGAAAUCCUGGAGCUCAACUCCAGAACUGCCUUCGAUACUGGGAGCUCGAGUCCGGGAGAGGUGAGUGGAACUGCGAGUGUAGAGGUGAAAUUCGUAGAUAUUCGCAAGAACACCAGUGGCGAAGGCGGCUCACUGGCCCGGUACUGACGCUGAGGUGCGAAAGCGUGGGGAGCAAACAGG
rnacentral:rRNA from 1 species